CCCUUAGAUGUUCUGGGCCGCACGCGCGCUACACUGAUGCAUUCAACAAGCCUAGCCUUGACCGAGAGGUCCGGGUAAUCUUUGAAACUGCAUCGUGAUGGGGCUAGAUUAUUGCAAUUAUUAAUCUUCAACGAGGAAUGCCUAGUAAGCGUGAUUCAUCAAAUCGCGUUGAUUACGUCCCUGCCCUUUGUACACACCGCCCGUCGCUCCUACCGAUUGGGUGAUCCGGUGAAUGAUUCGGACUCUGGCUAUGCUAGCUACUAGCUACGUCAGGGAAAGUUUUGUGAACCUUAUCACUUGGAGGAAGGAGAAGUCGUAACA
rnacentral:rRNA from 1 species